CCGUGAGGUAUGAGGUUAUUGUAACUGGGGGCCGUGAGGUAUGAGGUUAUUGUAACUGGGGGCCGUGAGGUAUGAGGUUAUUGUAACUGGGGGCCGUGAGGUUAUUGUAACUGGGGGCCGUGAGGUUAUUGUAACUGGGGGCCGUGAGGUAUGAGGUUAUUGUAACUGGGGGCCGUGAGGUAUGAGGUUAUUGUAACUGGGGGCCGUGAGGUAUGAGGUUAUUAUAACUGGGGGCCGUGAGGUAUGAGGUUAUUGUAACUGGGGGCCGUGAGGUUAUUGUAACUGGGGGCCGUGAGGUUAUUGUAACUGGGGGCCGUGAGGUAUGAGGUUAUUAUAACUGUGGGCCGUGAGGUAUGAGGUUAUUGUAACUGGGGGCCGUGAGGUAUGAGGUUAUUGUAACUGGGGGCCGUGAGGUAUGAGGUUAUUGUAACUGGGGGCCGUGAGGUAUGAGGUUAUUGUAACUGGGGGCCGUGAGGUUAUUGUAACUGGGGGCCGUGAGGUUAUUGUAACUGGGGGCCGUGAGGUAUGAGGUUAUUGUAACUGGGGGCCGUGAGGUUAUUGUAACUGGGAGCCGUGAGGUUAUUGUAACUGGGGGCCGUGAGGUUAUUGUAACUGGGAGCCGUGAGGUUAUUGUAACUGGGGGCCGUGAGGUUAUUGUAACUGGGGGGCCGUGAGGUUAUUGUAACUGGGGGCCGUGAGGUUAUUGUAACUGGGGGCCGUGAGGUAUGAGGUUAUUGUAACUGGGGGCCGUGAGGUUAUUGUAACUGGGGGCCGUGAGGUUAUUGUAACUGGGGGCCGUGAGGUUAUUGUAACUGGGGGCCGUGAGGUUAUUGUAACUGGGGGCCGUGAGGUAUGAGGUUAUUAUAACUGGGGGCCGUGAGGUUAUUGUAACUGGGGGCCGUGAGGUAUGAGGUUAUUAUAACUGGGGGCCGUGAGGUAUGAGGUUAUUAUAACUGGGGGCCGUGAGGUAUGAGGUUAUUGUAACUGGGGGCCGUGAGGUUAUUGUAACUGGGGGCCGUGAGGUUAUUGUAACUGGGGGCCGUGAGGUUAUUGUAACUGGGGGCCGUGAGGUUAUUGUAACUGGGGGCCGUGAGGUAUGAGGUUAUUGUAACUGGGGGCCGUGAGGUAUGAGGUUAUUGUAACUGGGGGCCGUGAGGUUAUUGUAACUGGGGGCCGUGAGGUUAUUGUAACUGGGGGCCGUGAGGUUAUUGUAACUGGGGGCCGUGAGGUUAUUGUAACUGGGGGCCGUGAGGUAUGAGGUUAUUGUAACUGGGGGCCGUGAGGUUAUUGUAACUGGGGGCCGUGAGGUUAUUGUAACUGGGGGCCGUGAGGUAUGAGGUUAUUGUAACUGGGGGCCGUGAGGUAUGAGGUUAUUGUAACUGGGGGCCGUGAGGUAUGAGGUUAUUGUAACUGGGGGCCGUGAGGUAUGAGGUUAUUAUAACUGGGGGCCGUGAGGUAUGAGGUUAUUAUAACUGGGGGCCGUGAGGUAUGAGGUUAUUAUAACUGGGGGUCGUGAGGUUAUUAUAACUGGGGGCCGUGAGGUAUGAGGUUAUUAUAACUGGGGGCCGUGAGGUAUGAGGUUAUUAUAACUGGGGGCCGUGAGGUUGUUGUAACUGGGGGCCGUGAGGUUGUUGUAACUGGGGGCCGUGAGGUUGUUGUAACUGGGGGCCGUGAGGUUAUUAUAACUGGGGGCCGUGAGGUAUGAGGUUAUUAUAACUGUGGGCCGUGAGGUAUGAGGUUAUUUUAACUGGGGGCCGUGAGGUAUGAGGUUAUUUUAACUGGGGGCCGUGAGGUAUGAGGUUAUUUUAACUGGGGGCCGUGAGGUAUGAGGUUAUUUUAACUGGGGGGCCGUGAGGUUAUUGUAACUGGGGGCCGUGAGGUAUGAGGUUAUUGUAACUGGGGGCCGUGAGGUUAUUGUAACUGGGGGCCGUGAGGUUAUUGUAACUGGGGGCCGUGAGGUUAUUGUAACUGGGGGCCGUGAGGUAUGAGGUUAUUAUAACUGGGGGCCGUGAGGUAUGAGGUUAUUAUAACUGGGGGCCGUGAGGUUAUUGUAACUGGGGGACAAUUAUAAAAGUUUAUUAUAAAAGUCAACCUGAGCACCAGAAUGCACUAUACUGUACAACUUGAUUGAAGUCCACCUGUGGUAAAUUCAAUUGACUGGACAUGAUUUGGAAAGGCACCCACCUGUCUAUAUA